ensembl:lncRNA
CAUCCCUGCUCUCCAGUUUGUGAUGAACUUUAAACUUCUGGGCUGGGGAGGAAGGGGAAAGAAGAGGGUGUGGGGCAACUAAAGUACAUUUGAACUGCUACUCUUUUUAGGAGGACACCAGCUGAGUUAUUCCAGGUCUUUGUUAAUCCCGUGACUCUUCUGGCUUUAGCUACUGUGGAUGGACGUUCACGGUACAUGGGAAAAGCUUUGAAUUUAUAUACUUGGUACUCAAAACAAACUGGUGAGAAAGGAUUGUUCUUUUAGUUCACAGUUGGGAGGCUCUAUAAAGUGCAGUAAUGAGGAAGACAGAUUUUUUCAUUUUAAAAAUACAUUACUGUAAAAUAUCAGAGCUAAAAAUGUGGGAGUCUGUAUUCAUGUAGAUAACUGGUCUAGAAUUGUCAGCAUAAAGCGACAAAAAUGCUCUCAGAGCCUCAAAUAUGUAAUAAAGAUAUCUGCUGCAGAAGGUUGUGGGUUUUGUCUGCAUGGUGGGUUGGACUCAGCAAUCUGUAUCUGCCCUGUGCUGCUUCAGCUGGGUUGGAUUCUGUAACAGGAGACAGCUCUGUAAUCUUCCUGUGAGUUACCAUCAUUACUUGCUUAUAUUGUUAAUAUUGUUCAUUAUUGUUCAUAAGUCAGUUGUAUACAUUUUAAAGUAGUGUCUGAACUAUUGAGAAUGUUGCUUUCUUUUCCCUCUGUCUCACUCAAGAUGCUGCAAGUCUAACCUUAUACUCUAUAUACUGUUUAUUUUAAUUUUAGAUGAAUAAUGUUUUGAAUAGUGCCUGGUUUUGACUAGGAUGAGCUUAAGGACAAGCUUAACCAAAUGCUUUUUUUUUCUCACAUUUAUUUUGUGCUGGUACCUUUGGUGCGCUAAGUGUGUUCACUGGGUGGUCUUUCUAGGACAAUUUAGGAGUAGAACAGCCCUUUAAGAGGCUAUUCACGCUUUUCCCUGGGAGAAAAAUGGUGCUUGGAAGUCAAAUGUUUUGGCCUGUAGGGGUUAAUGGCACUACUUGAGUGGGUUGGGCACAUGCUUUCACCUGUGGCUUUGGAAGGAUAUAAAGAUGGCUCUGUGACAUAUCACAUUACCUUUACUAUGUGGCUUCUGACUAAUGUAUGCAUUCGAUUACUAAGGUGUACUACUUCCAUUUUCUUGCGCGCUUACUGAGAUGAAAAUCUCUGCUGAAGUCACCAAUGACUGGGAGAAUAGCCUCUUCAGAAUGGUUUUGUCACUUGGCACAUCCUAACUGUGCUGCAGUGAGCAGUUGCCUUGUGAUUUAGGUAGGUCAGGAGUCUUCCACGGACGAUAAUUUGACCAUAACCAUCAGAGGGCUCACACCAUACUGUAUUAAAAGAUGGCUCCAUAGUUAAGAGAAGUCAGAUAGCAGUUCAGCUACAAAUAUCUUUGGGUGAGUUAUGUGUAGUACUGUAGACAAACACACUGUGAAUGGUUUCGCUUAUUUUCCCUGCUAUGGAGUCAGUUUGUUACCCUUAUUUUGAAAAAUAGCAAACUUACUUGCUUACAGCCCCAGAGGUUUAAAAACAAACAAAAGCUUAUAAACAAAAGUAUUCACCUUGUUGGUAUGAAAAUAUUUCUCCUAUUCAGUGGACUAAUGUGCAGUUGUAGUUACAGCAGUAAAUGUUAGGAAUGCUAAUUGAGGUGGUUUUCACUUUCGCUAGAGUAGAAAUCUUUACACUUGGAGUUAAGCAACGUAUUUACUGAUCUCUUCCACAUGGGGAAAUAAAGUUGUGCCAACGGA